GGCUGGAGGCCAAGGUCAAGUUGAAAGUUGCUGUCUCGCCA
ensembl:misc_RNA